UGCCUUUCGCGAAUCUUUUUGCGGUCUGGGCUUGCUGUACAUAACUCAAUAGCCGGAAGCCCUUACCCCAAAAAGCAUUCGCGGAGGGCG
rnacentral:pre_miRNA from 7 species